UACAGAGGGUGCGAGCGUUAAUCGGAAUUACUGGGCGUAAAGCGCGCGUAGGCGGUUAUCUAAGUCGGAUGUGAAAGCCCUCGGCUUAACUGAGGAAGUGCACCCGAAACUGGGUAGCUAGAGUACUAAAGAGGGUCGCGGAAUUCCCGGUGUAGAGGUGAAAUUCGUAGAUAUCAGGAGGAACACCGGUGGCGAAGGCGGGUCUCUGGGCCGUAACUGACGCUGAGGAGCGAAAGCGUGGGGAGCGAACAGG
rnacentral:rRNA from 1 species